rnacentral:lncRNA from 1 species
GGUCAUGGUCUUUGAGCACUUGUCUCGCCAGUUCUGUGUUUGAAACGACGACGUUCAGGGUGGAUCCGAUCCACACCGAUAUGAUGGGCCCGUAGGACUGAGCCCACUCGGCGUAGCAGCGGAAUCGAACCGGCUUAAUGUGGUAUAGGUUGCCGACGACUGGCCAUGGACGUGGGCCUGGAGGAAGCUUGAAUCGGAGCCGCUGGUACAGGUUGUAUGCAAGGAUGAAGAUCACAACAGAGAAAGAUAUGGAAACUGGGAGAGGAGGAAGAGCCAUCGUCAUGUUCGAAAUUGGGCAAAGUAGUCAGCUAUGAAUAUAUAGAAAAGUAGGGAGGGGGAGUUGGUGAGUGAGUGAGGACGGCCAAAAUGAUUUCAGAGUUGGGUGCGCGCAAAUGGAAUGUUGUAACAACCAACACUUGUAGCAAAUACGGGUGGCGCGUGGGGGACCAUGUCCGGUGGGUGCGCGGUGGGGAAAGCCUUUUCUAGUCUCUUUGGGGUUGGUGAGACUAGAACAAUAAGUGUAGCGCAAGGAAUCAAAGGUUGGUGGGAAGGUGGUAGACCCCUCCGACCCGAGUUCUGGUUGUUUGUGACUUUUACAAUUGGAGUAGAUGGAUAAUGCUGACAUACCAUUUGCAACUCUCCGGAUUCACUAUCAUCAAGCAAGGCUGGCCCAAAUUGAACCCAAAACCAGUCUAUAGUCGUCUGGCAACAGUCCCUUUUGUAGGAUUAUAUGGUCGUGCCAGGCGGGUUCAAUAAGCAUCGGCCCGCUUCUUAUCACGUUCAUGCGGGCGGAGAGAGCACCAACUCUUUCUCAAGGUUCUUGGAAAAAUGCCUAUUUAGUCAAAAUUAGGAAUUCAAAAGCCCAUUUCAAUGAGA